GACUAACGCUGGCGGCGUGUCUUAGACAUGCAAGUCGAACGGGUUGCUACUCUGUAGCAAUACGGAGUAGCGCUAGUGGCGAACGGGUGAGUAAUACAAAAGUAACUUGCCUCAGAGUGGAGUACAACCCCGAGAAAUCGGGGCUAAUUCUCCAUAUACUCUCCAGACUAUAGUUUGGCGAGGAAAGGCUUCGGUCGCUCUGAGAUGGGCUUUUGGUCUAUCAGUAAGUUGGUGAGAUAACAGCCCACCAAGGCUACGACGGGUACGGGGGUGUGAGAGCAUGACCCCCCACAUGGGAACUGAGACACGGUCCCAACUCCUACGGGAGGCAGCAGUCUAGAAAUUUGGGCAAUGGGCGAAAGCCUGACCCAGCGACGCCGCGUGAGGGAUGAAGUCCUUCGGGAUGUAAACCUCUGUUGAGGGGAACGAUAAUGACGGUACCCCUCGAGGAAGCCUCGGCUAACUCCGUG
rnacentral:rRNA from 1 species